AGCGUAGACGGUGAAGCAAGUCUGAAGUGAAAGCCCGGGGCUCAACCCCGGGACUGCUUUGGAAACUGUUUUACUAGAGUGCAGGAGAGGUAAGCGGAAUUCCUAGUGUAGCGGUGAAAUGCGUAGAUAUUAGGAGGAACACCAGUGGCGAAGGCGGCUUACUGGACUGUAACUGACGUUGAGGCUCGAAAGCGUGGGGAGCAAACA
rnacentral:rRNA from 1 species